GGAAUAAAAGUCGUAACAAGGUCUCCGUUGGUGAACCAGCGGAGGGAUCAUUACCGAGUUUACAACCCCCAAACCCCUGUGAACAUACCUGUUUUGUUGCUUCGGCGGUGCCCUCGCUCUCGCGGCGAGGCCCGCCAGAGGACCCAAACAAACUCUUUGACUUUGAUCUAGGAUUAUACUUCUGAGUGAUACAAAAAAUAAAAUCAAAACUUUCAACAACGGAUCUCUUGGUUCUG
rnacentral:misc_RNA from 1 species